CAGUCGAGCGGAAAGGCUCCCUUCGGGGGGUACUCGAGCGGCGAACGGGUGAGUAACACGUGAGUGAUCUGCCCUCCACUUCGGGAUAACUGUCUGAAAGGGUGGCUAAUACCGGAUAUUCCUGUGCUGCUGCAUGGUGGUGUGGGGAAAGGGUUUUCUGGUGGGGGAUGUGCUCGCGGCCUAUCAGCUUGUUGGUGGGGUAAUGGCCUACCAAGGCUUUGACGGGUAGCCGGCCUGAGAGGGUGACCGGUCACACUGGGACUGAGACACGGCCCAGACUCCUACGGGAGGCAGCAGUGGGGAAUAUUGGACAAUGGGCGGAAGCCUGAUCCAGCAACGCCGCGUGAGGGAUGACGGCCUUCGGGUUGUAAACCUCUUUCAGCACAGACGAAGCUGCCGCUACGUGUGGUGGUGGUGACGGUAUGUGCAGAAGAAGCACCGGCCAACUACGUGCCAGCAGCCGCGGUAAUACGUAGGGUGCGAGCGUUGUCCGGAAUUAUUGGGCGUAAAGGGCUCGUAGGCGGUUUGUCGCGUCGGGAGUGAAAUCCACUGGCUUAACUGGUGGCUUGCUUUCGAUACGGGCAGACUGGAGGUAUGCAGGGGAGAACGGAAUUCCUGGUGUAGCGGUGAAAUGCGCAGAUAUCAGGAGGAACACCGGUGGCGAAGGCGGUUCUCUGGGCAUGUCCUGACGCUGAAGAGCGAAAGUGUGGGGAGCGAACAGGAUUAGAUACCCUGGUAGUCCACACCGUAAACGUUGGGCGCUAGGUGUGGGAUCCAUUCCACGGGUUCC
rnacentral:rRNA from 1 species